rnacentral:rRNA from 1 species
AGUGAACGCUGGCGGUAGGCCUAACACAUGCAAGUCGAACGGCAGCACAGUAAGAGCUUGCUCUUACGGGUGGCGAGUGACGGACGGGUGAGGAAUACAUCGCAAUCUACUUUUUCUGGGGGGAUAACGUAGGGCAACUUACGCUACUACCUCAUACGUCCUACGGCUGGAAUCAGGGGUGAUACGCACUUUGCGUGACUGAUUUAGCCGAUGUCGGAUUGGCUAGUUGGCGUGGUAAGGGCCCACCUAGCCGACGCUCCGAAGCUGGGCUGAGAGGAUAAUCCGCCACACUGGAACUGAACCACGGUCAAGACUACGACGGGCGGCAGCAGUGAGGCAUAUUGGAUGAUGGGAGCAAGCCUGAUCCAACCACACCGCGUGGGUGAAGAAGGCCUUAGGGUUGUAAAGCCCUUUUGUUGGGAAAGAAAUGCAGCAGGUUAUUACCCCGCUGUUCUGACGGUACCCAAAGAAUAAGCACCGGCUAACUUC